rnacentral:misc_RNA from 1 species
GAUGAAGAACGUAGCGAAAUGCGAUAAGCAAUGUGAAUUGCAGAAUUCAGUGAAUCAUCGAAUCUUUGAACGCACAUUGCGCCCCUUGGUAUCCCGAGGGGCAUGCCUGUUCGAGCGUCAUUUCACCACUCAAGCCUGGCUUGGUGUUGGGCGACGUCCUCUUUGGGGACGCGCCUCGAAACGCUCGGCGGCGUGGCACCGGCUUUAAGCGUAGCAGAAUCUUUCGCUUUGGAAGUCGGGGCCCCGUCUGCCGGAAGACCUGCUCGCAAGGUUGACCUCGGAUCAGGCAGGGAUACCCGCUGAACUUAAGCAUAUCAAUAAGCGGAGGA